GGUUGCGAUCAUACCAGCACUAAUGCACCGGAUCCCAUCAGAACUCCGCAGUUAAGCGUGAUUGGGCGAGAGUAGUACUAGGAUGGGUGACCCCCUGGGAAGUCCUCGUGUUGCAACCC
rnacentral:rRNA from 1 species